UGACUGUACAAAGGUAGCAUAAUCAAUAGUCUCUUAAUUGGUGACUUGAAUGAAAGAUUGGAUGAAAUAUAUACUGUCUCUUUAAUAAUAAUAGAAUUUAAUUUUUUAAUUAAAAAGUUAAAAUAAAUUUAAAAGACGAGAAGACCCCAUAGAGUUUUAUAUAUUUGUUAAUUAAUAUUAUUUAUAAAUUAAUAAAAUUAAAAUUAAUUUGAUAUAUUAUAUUGGGGUGAUAAAAAAAUUUAUUUAACUUUUUUUUUUUAAAUUAACAUAAAUAAGUGACUAAUAAUGAUCCAAAAUUUUUGAUUAUAAGAUAAAAUUACCUUGGGGAUAACAGCGUAAUUUUUUUUUUUAGUUCGAAUAAAAAAAAAAGUUUGCGACCUCGAUGUUGGAUUAAGAUAAAAUUUAAAUGCAAAAGUUUAAAAUUUUGAUCUGUUCGAUCAUUAAAAUCUU
rnacentral:rRNA from 1 species